UGGCGAGUGGCGAACGGGUGAGUAACACAUCGGAACGCAUCCUGUAAUGGGGGAUAACCUGGCGAAAGCCAGGCUAAUACCGCAUACGUCCUGAGGGAGAAAGCGGGGGAUCGGAGACGACCUCGCGUUAUAGGAGCGGCCGAUGUCGGAUUAGCUGGUUGGUGGGGUAAAGGCCCACCAAGGCGACGAUCCGUAGCUGGUCUGAGAGGAUGAUCAGCCACACUGGGACUGAGACACGGCCCAGACUCCUACGGGAGGCAGCAGUGGGGAAUUUUGGACAAUGGGCGCAAGCCUGAUCCAGCCAUUCCGCGUGAGUGAAGAAGGCCUUCGGGUUGUAAAGCUCUUUCGGCCGGGAAGAAAUCGCUCUGGUUAAUACCUGGGGUGGAUGACGGUACCGGAAGAAGAAGCACCGGCUAACUACGUGCCAGCAGCCGCGGUAAUACGUAGGGUGCGAGCGUUAAUCGGAAUUACUGGGCGUAAAGCGUGCGCAGGCGGCCGCAUAAGACAGAUGUGAAAUCCCCGGGCUCAACCUGGGAACUGCGUUUGUGACUGUGUGGCUCGAGUGCGGCAGAGGGGGGUGGAAUUCCACGUGUAGCAGUGAAA
rnacentral:rRNA from 1 species